UACAGAGGGUGCGAGCGUUGUUCGGAAUUACUGGGCGUAAAGGGCGCGUAGGCGGCUCGAUAAGUCUGUUGUGAAAGCCCGGGGCUUAACUCCGGAAGUGCAGUGGAAACUAUCGAGCUAGAGUGCAGUAGAGGUUGGUGGAAUACCCAGUGUAGAGGUGAAAUUCGUAGAUAUUGGGUGGAACACCGGUGGCGAAGGCGGCCAACUGGGCUGCAACUGACGCUGAGGCGCGAAAGCGUGGGGAUCAAACAGG
rnacentral:rRNA from 1 species